AUGGCCUUCAUACUUUCACCCACCAGUGACUUACCAGAUGAUUCGCCAGGCGAGUACCUUGGCCUCCCGCAUUCUAACUUAGAUGGCCAUGCUUUCUUUGCCGCCGAGUUCGACACCGUCUUGAAUGCUGAGAUCGGGGACAUUGAUGACAACCAUGUUGGGAUUGAUGUCAACAGCUUGGCGUCGGUUCAAUCCCAAAGUGCAGGCUUCUAUUACGGACACACUAGUUAUUUCCAAACCAUUGUACUCAGAAGCGGCAAACCAGUUCAAGCGUGGGUGGACUAUGAUAGCAAAUCGCACCAGCUGAAUAUUACCUUAGCACCUUGUUGUAUUUCUAAACCCCAACUUCCGUUGCUGUCAACCACUGUCAAUGUAUCCUCUUUGUUGUCACUGGGUCCAGUUUACACUGGGUUCUCUGCAUCCAGCAGAAAAGUCUCCUCCAGCCAUUAUGUUCUAGGCUGGAGUCUGAAGCUAGAUGGGGUGGCUGAACCACUUGACUACUCUGUUCUCCCUUUUGGCACUGAACAUGAACUUCAACAUCAAUCCAAAUUCCAACUUUUUAUCCCUAUGAACAUUUUAGGUGCGCCAACGAUCGUGCCAGCAGUCAUCCUAAUAGUUCUUGCUGUGCUGAUCUAUCGGCAACUGAGCAAGGCCAAGGAAGAUGAUGAGUGGGAGAUCAAGUGUGGGAUGCCGUCUUUCACAUACAAGGAACUGGUGACUGCCACCGAAGGCUUCAGCAACAAGAUGCUCCUCGGGAAAGGAGGCUUUGGAAGAGUGUACAAAGGGGUGCUGCCUACCACCACACAACAUGUCGCCAUCAAGCGGGUGUCACCGGAAUCAAAGCAGGGGAAGAAGGAGUUCAUGGCAGAGAUCGCCAUCCUUGGCCAUGUCCGGCACCGAAACCUUGUCCAACUGCUAGGCUAUUGCCGGUACAAGCAGGAGCUGCUCUUGGUCUAUGACUACAUGCCCAAUGGCAGUCUUGAUAGGUACUUGUAUGACAAGACCACACCGACCCUGGAUUGGGCUCAGAGGCUUCGCAUCAUCAAAGGCGUAGCUUCCGGCCUCUUCUACCUGCACGAGGAUUGGGAGCAAGUCAUCAUCCAUCGGGACGUCAAGGCAAGCAACGUUCUCCUCGACGACGACAUGAAUGGGAGGCUUGGUGACUUUGGCCUCGCAAGGCUGCAUGACCACGGAGUCGAUGCCCACACUACACAUGUGGCGGGCACCUGGGGAUACAUUGCCCCUGAGCUGGCCCGGCUUGGCAAGGCGACCAAGGCGACCGACGUAUUUGCAUUUGGAGUGUUUACCAUAGAGGUGGUUUGCGGGAGAAAACCAAUCGGCCCGGCCAACACCAGUGGCGGCCUUCUUGCGCUGGCGGAUUGGGUACGUGGCACAUGGCAGGGUGGCUCGAUCGUCGACGCCGUGGACCCUGAGCUGAAAGAUUACGACGCGGCGGAGGUUGAGCUUGUGCUGAAGCUUGGGUUGCUAUGCUCCCAUUCUCUGCCCAGGUCGCGCCCAUGUAUGCGUCUAGUAAUGCUGUACUUAGAAGGAGGUGCAAGACUUGCAGACUUCCAGCCAGCUUCUCAUGGACAUGAGGAUGAAGAGAUUGAUCAGGCUUUGUGUGCAUCUGCAGCUACGACUGUGACCAUUCUUUCUGGAAGGUAA
rnacentral:rRNA from 1 species